GCACAGGCUGCAUGCUGCCUUUGGCUUCUGGAAGGGCAAGAACCUGCCUUGCAUGUGAGGUCAGAUUGGGACAACUACUAAAGAAGUUAAAAGCCACAGAGGACACAAGUAUGAAAGAACGGUGCAGAAAAAAAGGGAUGCUUGACCAGAGGGCUGCGAGCAAGAGAUGGAAAACUGCCAGUGGAACUAAAAAGAUAGCAGUAAAUAAAUAAAUAAAUCACAAACCUUUUUCG
rnacentral:lncRNA from 1 species